AUUGAACGCUGGCGGCAGGCCUAACACAUGCAAGUCGAGCGGAUGAAGGGAGCUUGCUCCUGGAUUCAGCGGCGGACGGGUGAGUAAUGCCUAGGAAUCUGCCUGGUAGUGGGGGAUAACGUCCGGAAACGGGCGCUAAUACCGCAUACGUCCUGAGGGAGAAAGUGGGGGAUCUUCGGACCUCACGCUCUCAGAUGAGCCGAGGUCGGAUUAGCUAGUUGGUGGGGUAAAGGCCUACCAAGGCGACGAUCCGUAACUGGUCUGAGAGGAUGAUCAGUCACACUGGAACUGAGACACGGUCCAGACUCCUACGGGAGGCAGCAGUGGGGAAUAUUGGACAAUGGGCGAAAGCCUGAUCCAGCCAUGCCGCGUGUGUGAAGAAGGUCUUCGGAUUGUAAAGCACUUUAAGUUGGGAGGAAGGGCAGUAAGUUAAUACCUUGCUGUUUUGACGUUACCAACAGAAUAAGCACCGGCUAACUUCGUG
rnacentral:rRNA from 1 species